rnacentral:rRNA from 1 species
GACGAACGCUGGCGGCGUGCUUAACACAUGCAAGUCGAACGGUGAAGGUGGAGCUUGCUCCGCCGGAUCAGUGGCGAACGGGUGAGUAACACGUGGGCAACCUGCCCCUCACUUCGGGAUAACUCCGGGAAACCGGGGCUAAUACCGGAUACGACCUCCUUGGGCAUCCUUGGAGGUGGAAAGUUUUUCGGUGAGGGAUGGGCCCGCGGCCUAUCAGCUUGUUGGUGAGGUAGUGGCUCACCAAGGCGACGACGGGUAGCCGGCCUGAGAGGGCGACCGGCCACACUGGGACUGAGACACGGCCCAGAGUCCUACGGGAGGCAGCACUGGGGAAUAUUGCGCAAUGGGCGAGAGCCUGACGCAGCAACGCCGCGUGCGGGUUGAAGGCCUUCGGGUUGUAAACCGCUUUCAGCAGGGAAGAAGCCGCAAGGUGACGGUACCUGCAGAAGAAGCACCGGCUAACUACGUGCCAGCCGCCGCUGUAA